CCUUUGCCUACUGCGCGGGCAGUUUCUUGCAAACCCGGAAGCAGAUCUCUUGGAGUGAAGGCUGUUAGUCGCCGCGUAGAACCCUGGAAGAAGAGGAAGAGGAAGGCAAAGGAGUCAGGGAUGGCUCUUCCUCAGGAAAAACAACUCAAAAACCAUGUUUUCCUCUGCUCUCACACCAACACCACAAUCCACACAGAAGACUUCUGUGGCCAAAUGCGAGGGGUUUCUCCCCACCAACAAACAGCAAGCAACCAACUGGCUGUCCUCCAGUUCAGUUCCAACACUGUCUGCAUGAAGAUAGUGUCAGAUCUCACAGAUUGAUGGCUCAGUUCCCAGUUGCAUGUCCAGGCCUCUGAAACUUCUGACCGACCAACUUCAAGUUGAAGUUCCCAUGAACCCUUCUUUGGGUUGGAUUUAUUUGCUGGAGCAACUCUUAGAGGUCAGAGAAACACUCAGUUUUACUGGUUGAUUAUAAAUACUAUUACAGAAGAUACCAGUGAAGAGAUGCAUAAGGUGAGGUAUGGGGAAAGGGGCGCAGAGCUUCCCUGCCCU
rnacentral:lncRNA from 1 species